rnacentral:rRNA from 1 species
ACGUAGGCAGCAAGCGUUGUUCGGAGUUACUGGGCGUAAAGAGUGUGUAGGCGGUUCGCCAAGUUCGGUGUGAAAUCUCCCGGCUUAACUGGGAGGGUGCGCCGAAUACUGGCGGGCUAGAGUGCGGGAGAGGAGAGCGGAAUUCCUGGUGUAGCGGUGAAAUGCGUAGAUAUCAGGAGGAACACCUGCGGUGUAGACGGCUCUCUGGACCGUUUCUGACGCUGAGACACGAAAGCGUGGGUAGCAAACAG